rnacentral:lncRNA from 1 species
CUCGCUCGGUGACUGGGGGAACCGACAGCGGCCGCAGGCCCAGAGCGCGGUCACGUGAGCUGCGCCGCCGACGAGCCUGGGACGGAGCGAAGCGGCGCGGCGGCCGCUAGGGGGAGCGCGGGAGCGUCGAGUCGGGGGCGGGGAGCCCUGGGCGCCUGGGCUCGGCACAGCGCGGUGCGGCUGGACUCCGGGCGCGGGUGGCGCGGCAAAACUCCGGGCGCAGGUGGCGCGGCUGAGAGGGGCGCGCAGCUCGCGAAAUGCCCGGCGUCAAAGGCCUUCGGAGACCAAAGUCUCCGCGGACCGCUGGCUGGAGCCCAAAGCCGGCCGGACCUCCUCCCCGCGUCUCCCCUUUCGCGGCUCGGAGAGGAAGGCAAGGGAGCCCCCAAAUAUCAUUCCCUUCCCUCCCCCUAUGGAAACUGAUGCUGAAAGAGCCAGCGAGAGAAAGAAAAAAAAAAGUCGCGGAGAGGGGCGGCCCAAGCGACCGAGGGCACCGGGCAGCGCCAGCGACAGAGGGAAAUUAGUCGAGGGGACAGAGAGACAAGCCCCCUGAACUUAGGAAACUCUGAAGCAUGGAGCUGGAGUCCAGAAAAUGACUCCAAUGACAACUGCUCCGGAUCUGUGCCAGGAGCCACGCCCCGGGCUGCCACGCCCGGAGGGAGGGGCGCCCUAAGACCUGUAGCGUGGAAUCCGCACUGGGAAAGCCUCAGUAAACUCCAGAACGCAACUACUGCACGUUCCAAUGUCCCGCCACCUUCCCAGUGCCCCAGCUAGGACUUCGAUCACCUCAGCAAGAACUUACCUCUCCUUUGCAGUGGAAAAGAGGGAAUCCUGCCUAAAACCUACUUCACGGUGUUAAAUGGUCCCGGAGAGAACAAAAACAGAGAGGUAACUAUGUCAAGCUAUCUGCUGGAGCUGGGACACAUUCUUCCUCUCCUGUCCUUGGACAACAACUCCAGGCUCCCCAGCCUUCAAACUCCAGGACUUCUCCCCUCUCCUCCACCCUUCCUGGCUUCUCAGGCCUUUGGCCUUGAACUGAGAGCUACACCAUCAGAUUCCCUGAUUCUGAGGCCUUCGGGACUUGAAUUGAGCCAUACUACCAGCCUCCCAGGGUCUCCAGUCUGCAGACGACCUGUUUUGGGACUUCUUGCCAAUUUCCCUAAUAAAUAAACUCCAUUUCGUCUUUC